GCGGAUGUAGUUUAAUGGUAAAACACGAGCUUCCCAAGCUCGGGUCGAGGGUUCGAUUCCCUUCAUCCGCUCCA
rnacentral:tRNA from 1 species